rnacentral:lncRNA from 1 species
CGCUCUUGAUAUGCAAAAGCAAGGUAUUGUUUUUGAAUGAUAUUUCACAGUGAGGACUUGAAUGAACUUCUUGAUUGUUUUUAUACCAAGAAACAGUGAGAGGCUGAGAGCCAGCAACACGGCCCUCAAGUUUAAGUUCAUUCCCUUCUGUUUCUUCUACUGCUUCAGAGAGUUUCCUAGUAAAAGUGGGUGGAGUUUUUCGUUCUUUAACAUUCAGUUGUGCUGUACAAGAAUCCUUUCCAACUUCAUUGCUAGCAUAGCAUGUGUACUUUCCAGAGUCUCCC